GAAGAGUCUGUAACUGUUCAACAGGGCGCUCCAGUCACAGGUCUUAUCCCACCAGGUGUUACUUAUGCCAGUCAAAUCUCUGGGACUGGGCCAAAGCUUCAAGCUCCUCCUGUUCGUUCCUCAUGCUGAGUGCAUUAGUGUAGAAAUAUUUCAGACAUACAUUUCAGAGGAUAUAUAUCAAGUAGAUUGUAUCCACACAAAGAAGCAAUAAAGCGAAGGCUUAUUCUGACAUGCUUCACCAUGAAGAGUUCACACAUUGGAAGGAGCAACAAAGGAAAAAGAGAUAUGUCCCUCCAUUUUCAUUUGAACUUAUACAUCCUUGAAAACAGAAAAAUGAGAUGCAAUGACAAGAAAAGAAGAGUGGUGUCAUCAGCUUAAGAACAGACACAGAGCCAUAGUGAAAUCACAGAGGACAUCAUGGGCAUUUAAGUCCAUGAGAGAGUACUGCAAACCCUGAACUUACGUAGUAACAGACCGCAGCAGAGCAGGGAGAGGUUUCUCCGAGUAUGAUGUUGUUUCAGGCACACUUGCUCCCUGAACAGUCCUUCCACAUUGGCUUAGCUGACUGCACUUUGUUGUGCAGGGUAUUGUAAUGCCACAUCUGGGUCAAUUAAACUCUGUUUGCUGUAAAAAAUUAUGUUGAAUUCUGCUCCUGGACAC